rnacentral:rRNA from 1 species
UACAGAGGGUGCGAGCGUUAAUCGGAAUUACUGGGCGUAAAGCGCGCGUAGGCGGCUUUGCAAGCCGGAUGUGAAAUCCCCGGGCUUAACCUGGGAACUGCAUUCGGGACUGCAUUGCUAGAGUAUGGGAGAGGGAAGUGGAAUUUCAGGUGUAGCGGUGAAAUGCGUAGAUAUCUGAAGGAACAUCAGUGGCGAAAGCGGUUACCUGGAGCUUUGCUGACGCUGAUGCGCGAAAGCGUGGGGAGCGAUCCGG